UACAGAGGGUGCAAGCGUUGUUCGGAAUUACUGGGCGUAAAGCGCGCGUAGGCGGUGAUCUUUGUCAGAGGUGAAAGCCUGGGGCUCAACUCCAGAAUUGCCUUUGAAACGGGAUCGCUUGAGUCCGAGAGAGGAUGGCGGAAUUCCUAGUGUAGAGGUGAAAUUCGUAGAUAUUAGGAAGAACACCGGUGGCGAAGGCGGCCAUCUGGCUCGGUACUGACGCUCAGGCGCGAAAGCGUGGGGAGCAAACAGG
rnacentral:rRNA from 1 species